GGAAUCUUGCGCAAUGGACGGGAGUCCGACGCAGCGACGCCGCGUGGGUGAAGACGGCCUUCGGGUUGUAAAGCCCUUUUCUGGGGGAAGAGAGAGGGCGGUACUCCAGGAAUAAGUGUCGGCUAACUACGUGCCAGCAGCCGCGGUAAUACGUAGGACACGAGCGUUAUCCGGAUUUACUGGGCGUAAAGCGCCUGUAGGCGGUUCUUCAAGUCGUUUGUGAAAGCCCUGGGCUCAACCUGGGGAGGCCAAGCGAUACUGGAGGACUUGAGGGUGACAGAGGGGAGUGGAAUUUCCGGUGUAGCGGUAAAAUGCGCAGAUAUCGGGAGGAACACCAGUGGCGAAGGCGGCUCCCUGGGUCACCCCUGACGCUGAGAGGCGAAAGCUAGGGGAGCAAACAG
rnacentral:rRNA from 1 species